AAGCUUUGGCAGCAGCUAUACUAAAAUUGCAACAAUACAGAGAUGAUGAGCAUGGCGCCUGCACAAGCCUGACACCCAAAUGGCAAGUCCACGAAUUUCCU
rnacentral:snRNA from 1 species